rnacentral:rRNA from 1 species
UACGUAGGGUGCGAGCGUUUAAUCGGAAUUACUGGGCGUAAAGCGUGCGCAGGCGGCGCGUUAAGACAGGUGUGAAAGCCCCGAGCUUAACUUGGGAAUUGCGCUUGUGACUGGCGAGCUGGAGUGUGGCAGAGGGAGGUGGAAUUCCACGUGUAGCAGUGAAAUGCGUAGAGAUGUGGAGGAACACCGAUGGCGAAGGCAGCCCCCUGGGUCAAGAUUGACGCUCAUGCACGAAAGCGUGGGGAGCAAACAGG